rnacentral:rRNA from 1 species
CACGUAGGGCGCAAGCGUUGUCCGGAAUUAUUGGGCGUAAAGAGCUCGUAGGCGGCCUGUUGCGUCCGCUGUGAAAGCCCGGGGCUUAACCCCGGGUCGGCAGUGGAUACGGGCAGGCUAGAGGUAGGUAGGGGAGAAUGGAAUUCCCGGUGUAGCGGUGAAAUGCGCAGAUAUCGGGAGGAACACCGGUGGCGAAGGCGGCUCACUGGCCCGGUACUGACGCUGAUGUGCGAAAGCGUGGGGAGCAAACAGG